ensembl:lncRNA LOC102547109 uncharacterized LOC102547109
GCUGUGAGGGAAGAGGCUUGUUGAGGAGGGGCCUGAAAUUGGUCCAGGGCCAAGCUGUGUGAGUCCCGAAGGGCUACCCAAGGUCAGUCUUCAUCUGCUGCCUGAGCUCCUUUCCGAGCCUCUGGAUGAGCUUGUCCUGGAUAUCUCCACUUCAACCAUUCUCCACACGCAGGUGUCUAAGCUACACUUUCCCCCUACCGCAAUUAGUCUUUCAGUCUUUCAUGUCAUCCUGUUUGAGUAUCUCAACAGCAGAUGUCAAUCCUCCCUCUCUUCAUCCUUAUUGUUCAAUGUGGAUCAGGGCUGCAUAUGUGAUGCACUUCAUUGUCUCUGACCCAAUAGACGUCAC